ACGAAACCCUCGUCAGCUCGAACGUGAUUCUCGCUUGGCUUUCCACCGAGGAGAGAACCCUAACGCUCCCCCAUCGCCUGGAUCGAAAUCCCCACCGCCCCUUCCCGCUCGCCACCGCGCCCCGCCCUGCCAAUCUCUUUUCAUCUCCGACCAGCGCCGCCUCUGUACGACGGGCUCCCAGGGACCAUCCUCUCGGCGGCGAACAGGAAGAGGGGGAGGAUGGAAGAAGGGCGCGUGGAUGGCAGCAGCGGCGAAAACCGUGGAGGCGACCCAUCAAAUCCUCGCACCUCCACGCAAAUUCGCGCCUCCGCCGCCACCGUGGUCAUGUGGACGUUCUUCGGCCUGCCGCUUGGAGAUACUUCCGCAAAUUCCGCGGAAUCCGCGCCCUAGGGCGGAGCCGCCGCGUCCUCCGAGGUUGAUUCCCAUAGGCCCUUACUAUUUGCGAAUACGCUUUGACUUUCCGAAGUCUUCCCAGCGCGAUGUAUCCCAUGCAUAAGCACUGGCGACAGUGCCGCCGUCGAUUAAAAAAGCACGUUGGUCAACUGCGAAUCGUGCUAGAUCAGGCACACUAUCUUCCAGCAAGACUAGAAAAGAUGCAGUCCCAUUACUGCUCAAGCAUGAUGUUCCUUGCUUCUAUGUUCUGAGAUUGCUUGGAGACAUGGAUCGUUUGGCAUAUCCAUACGCGGCAUUUCGAAAACCUUUCCCAUGGCUCACUACACUACAGAGAUGGUAUCAAGUAUGAAGAGGGCUUCACUGUGAAUUCACGAGGCAGCAGGCUCUUCACCUGCAAAUGGACGCCGAUGAAACUACAGAUCAAGGCUUUGAACUUUAUCUGCCAUGGCUACGGAGGAGAGUGCAGCAUAUCGAUGAUAGGUAAGUGUUACAGUUUUUGUUCAUCCGAUUCAGAACGAGUUAACUUAUAAUGGCCCGAGAAGAAUAUUCGGAACGAUUCAGCGAUCCAAAAUGGAUGAAGUGACUCUCCCUCCAAUUUCCUCUACUACAAGGUAGACAAAGAUGGAGUUUAUUUGCAUGUUAUGUUCUGCUGCAGUAUAUAUGCUUCUGAUUUGAGGUUCUAAAUGUGUCACAGUUUAUCUAUUUGAUUCUUUCAUGGUAGACAUCAUAUCAUAAAAGUAGAAAGUGUGCUGAAAUAAUUGGAAUUGCACAUGCUAUUGCUUUAUGAUUCCUACCACUGAACUUAACCGUGUUACAGUUCUUGCUGUGUCCACCUUUGAUGGACAAUGUCCAAGGGGCACUGCCACUACAAACUGGUCUAUCGGGUUUGAUAAUAUGCAACUCUUAGCAGGCUUCCAACCUAUUAUAAGCAUGUUUAUACUUAUAACAAUAAUAAUAUAAUGAUUAAGUUCUUUGUUCUGCACUGUCUUAGAACUUGCAAGGCGGUUUGAAAAGGUUAGGAAUAUGAUGUUGUGGGAAAUUUAUAAAUGUGAUUGGAGGUGAUGCCUGUGUUUUUGUUUCUAGAUAUGUUCAGCCCUGCUUGGCUCUGCAAGAUGUGCAGAACAUAAUGUAAGAGAUACAAA